rnacentral:rRNA from 1 species
UACAGAGGGUGCGAGCGUUGUCCGGAAUUAUUGGGCGUAAAGAGCUCGUAGGCGGUCUGUCGCGUCGAAUGUGAAAACCCGGGGCUCAACUCCGGGCUUGCAUUCGAUACGGGCAGGCUAGAGUUCGGUAGGGGAGUCUGGAAUUCCUGGUGUAGCGGUGAAAUGCGCAGAUAUCAGGAGGAACACCGGUGGCGAAGGCGGGACUCUGGGCCGAUACUGACGCUGAGGAGCGAAAGCGUGGGGAGCGAACAGG